GGAUGAGGCCGGUUCGGGAGAAGAAUAAAGCACUCUGUUUUUUACCUUGUUUAUGUUUUCUGUUAUAUGCUGUUCUAGUGUUUUAUUGUUAAACUAUGUUUAUGCUUGUCAUGUUUACCAAACGCUUAACUUUUAAUCCAUUUUUAUUCUGUCAUACUUUGUGAUUCAUGUUUAUCUGAUAAUCGCAAAAUGUAUGUUUACUUGUAUGCUUUUCUUAAGUCUCUUCCUUUUUGCUAAUGACAAAGGGGGAGAAGACUUGUUUCUCUAAUGGUUUUUAUGCAGGAUUGUUGUAUGCCUCUCAUUUAGGGGGAGUUCCUAAACUUAGGGGGAGAAAUCAUCUUAGAGAAACUUCACUUUCAUGCAUCUAUCUCAAAGUGGUUGUCAUCAUCAAAAAGGGGGAGACUGUAGAAGCAAGCUUCAAUCCAAGAAGUAUUUUGAUGAAGACAAC
rnacentral:lncRNA from 1 species